rnacentral:lncRNA from 1 species
CGGGGAGUCCCGCUUCCGGGCGCCUCUGGUGGCCAAGGGGGCGCUGCGGCACUGAAUGUGAGCACGAGGGAAGGGGCUGGCUAACCUCCCCCAAGGAGACUGGCGGAGCCCCUUAUCACGCCCAGAGGAUCCCUCCAUGCCCAGGAUCGGCCGGUCGCCCCCCCCUCACCCCAAAGUCAAGCAAGGGUGCACUUUCCAGAGAGAACAACUUUGGCAAUAGGACCAAAGGGGUGCAGGACGCUAGAGACUCAGCUAGGAUGCAGGCACUCUGUGACACCAUCCAGACAAACGCAGGAGCCAGAUGACCUGGAAGGAUAAAGCUAGGAGUGUAUCCAUGCCUCGUCCAUCCACCUUCCAUAGAGUACACCGGACUAGGAUUGCCCCGAGCAAGUCAGCCACGGAAUUUACAGUUGACACAACAGAAGAGGAGCCAGGUGGCAUCUGGCUGCAGCUACCUGUCCCGGAAGUGCCUGGUGGUGGUCAAGUUCCAGGAGAGUUCUAUCCUUUAAUCACCGGAAGUUUCCGCCCAUGAUCAGAGUCAGCCAACAUUGCGGUCUGGGAACAGGGCGGUUACAUCUGUGGCGCUUGGAGCUGUGCCUGGCCCCGCAUCAAGCAGUCCUACUUAGCGGUUCUGCAUGGCUUGCAAACAAAGUGGGUUUGGUAACAAAGAAGCCCACGGCACCACACGGAAAAGCAGAGAGCCUUUAAAUUUCCCAGAACGGGAGCCUCUCACCAGACUGAAGUAGCCACCAGCAUUUUCAAUUAAUCUUGGAAUGGUCGCUGGAGGCAAGAAGCCAGCGGCGCCUAAAGGAAUGAGAAAGUGCAAACUGAUCCAGAGGAAACAAAGGGCAGCGAGGGACCCCACAGCUGAGGCAGACGACACUGUGAGCGGCUCUGUCGGGAGGCUGGCGAGGCGUGCGCGCGCGGGUCUCUGCCUUAGCACCAUCUGCCGAUUCCUCAAGAGGACACAGAACAGACCAGCGAGCCAUGAAGAUUCGAUUAUGUAACGCGGGAGGAUUGCUUGUUUUCAAAAGGGAGACAAAUGGGAACGAAUUGAUUUGUUUGUCAAAGUCAUGGCCCCAAAGGAGACCAGUCCCCUCCUCUUCCUGGAGGAUUCAUCAAGGAAGGGGAGUGAUUUCACAGGCUCAGAAAAAAGGAGCCCAGGACUCACAGAGUCAGCUCAGAUGGUAACAGCAGCUCCUGGGCCGCAACGCGGUGAGCCACGUGGUAGAAGAAAAGAACCAACUUCAGCUAACAGUCCUCUGACCUCCAUAAGGGCACAUACCCACCCGCCGCGAAAUAAAUCCAUGCAAAACCAUAAUUCACUCCAUUCAUAAAAACGAGUCUAUUUCCAAAAUUGUGCUGGCAAACCUUUCUGGCUUCUCU